rnacentral:rRNA from 1 species
UGACGAGCGGCGGACGGGUGAGUAAUGCCUGGGAAUAUGCCUUGAUGUGGGGGAUAACCAUUGGAAACGAUGGCUAAUACCGCAUAAUGCCUACGGGCCAAAGAGGGGGAUCUUCGGACCUCUCGCGUCAAGAUUAGCCCAGGUGGGAUUAGCUAGUUGGUGAGGUAAUGGCUCACCAAGGCGACGAUCCCUAGCUGGUCUGAGAGGAUGAUCAGCCACACUGGAACUGAGACACGGUCCAGACUCCUACGGGAGGCAGCAGUGGGGAAUAUUGCACAAUGGGCGCAAGCCUGAUGCAGCCAUGCCGCGUGUGUGAAGAAGGCCUUCGGGUUGUAAAGCACUUUCAGUCGUGAGGAAGGUAGUUGCGUUAAUAGCGUAAUUAUUUGACGUUAGCGACAGAAGAAGCACCGGCUAACUCCGUGCCAGCAGCCGCGGUAAUACGGAGGGUGCGAGCGUUAAUCGGAAUUACUGGGCGUAAAGCGCAUGCAGGUGGUUUGUUAAGUCAGAUGUGAA